rnacentral:ncRNA from 1 species
ACCCUUUGUUCAAUGCACGAAUAUCAAAAAGCUAAGAAAGGAACCAAAACACGAUAAUCGAUAUGUACAAACUCUAAUCAAUAAGCAUCAUAACGUACACCUUGGGGAGGAGCAAGAGUGUACACAUUGAGACCCGAACGAUGAUGAACUAUGCUUGUGAAGGUUGAAGCCAGAGGAAACUCUGGUUGAGGACCGUAGUGAUUCUGACGUGCGAAUCGAUUGUAUAACGUGAGUAUAAGGGUGAAAGACUAAUCGAACUAUCUAUUAGCCGGUUCCCUUCGAAGUUUCCCUCAGGAUAACUGGCAUUCUGAGAAAUAAAUUUUUAUCCGAUAAAGAGAAUGAUUAGAGGCAUUGGAGAGAAAUCAUCCCCAACUUAUUCUCAGACUUUAAGUGGGUGAGAAGCUUAAUUCGCUUAAUUGGAGUUCUACAUUGAAUGUGAGUGCCAAGUGGGUUAUUUUCGGCAAGCAGAACUGCCGCUGCGGGAUGAACAAAACGUUCGAUGAAGGUGCCCAAUACGAUACUCAUGAGGUACCGUAAAGGGUGUUGGUUGGUCUAGAUAGCAGGACCGCGGCCAUAGAAGUCGGAAGCCGCUAAGGAGUGUGUCACAACUCACCUGCCGAAUCAACCAGCCCUAAAAAUGAAUGACAUUCGAGCGUUGAACCUAUACCGUACCGUUGCUGUAAGCUGAGUCUAUACUGUGUGAGGGCAAGCUGCACUUGGUUCAGACAUGGAGUGACGGCAACGGCUAGGAGGGUCGAUGUGGCUAGCGGGAAAUCUCAGGCGUGAGCAUAGGUGAAGCAACCACAGGCGCAGAUUUUGGUGGUAGCAGCAAAUAUUCAGAUGAGAACCUUGAAGGCCGAGUUGACCUUGGGUCAAGCGGUCCUAAGUGAUCCGGAAAGUUGGAACAGAGAUGGAGUGCCUGACAUUGUCCGUUCGCGGGCUUUGUUCAGUAAUCUGCAAAGUACUGUUGCAUUGCAGCCUCCUGUAGCGAAAGGGAAUCGGGUUAAUGUUCCCGACCUGUUCACGGAGACUGGUGUGUGUCGGGCCUUUGGUUCGGCGUGCGCCCAGCGCGGUAACGCAACCAACUUAAGAAACGUCGGCGAAAGUCCUGGGAAGAGUUCUCUUUGUAAAGUUAUUUAAAUUAUACGUAUAAACCUCUGGAGUCUAUUUCAGUAGUCUGUCUAGAGAUUAGACCUUUGUGAGUGAAACCGAAGAUUACUGAGUUCAACAUUAGGUGGCGAGAUCGCAGAUACCCACUGCUGAAGAGUCCCAUGCUAGAAAAGAAAAGCUGUCUAGUGCAUUCUGAUUACCAAUGGAUGUCUAACUUGGUC